GGUGGCGAGUGGSGAASGGGUGAGUAAUWUAUCGGAACGUGCCCUGGAGUGGGGGAUAACUAGUCGAAAGAUUAKCUAAUACCGCAUACGAUCUAAGGAUGAAAGUGGGGGAUCGCAAGACCUCRUGCUCCUGGAGCGGCCGAUAUCUGAUUAGCUAGUUGGKGGGGUAAAAGCCUACCAAGGCGACRAUCARUAGCUGGUCUGAGAGGACGACCAGCCACRCUGGGACUGAGACACGGCCCARACUCCUACGGGAGGCAGCAGUGGGGAAUUUUGGACWWUGGGCGCAAGCCUGAUCCAGYAAUGCCKCGUGAGUGAARAAGGCCUUCGGGUUGUAAAKCUYUUUUGUCAGGRAAGAAACGGGUGAGGCUAAUAUCCUUGCCUAAUGACGGUACCUGAAGAAUAAGCACCGGCUAACUACGUGCCAGCAGCCGCGGUAAUACGUAGGGUGCAAGCGUUAAUCGGAAUUACUGGGCGUAAAGCGUGCGCAGGCGGUUGUGUAAKACAGAUGUGAAAUCCCCGGGCUCAACCUGGGAAUUGCAUUUGUGACUGCACGGCUAGWGUGUGUCAGAGGGGGGUAGAAUUCCACGUGUAGCAGUGAAAUGCGUAGAUAUGUGGAGGAAUACCGAUGGCGAAGGCAGCCCCCUGRGAUAACACUGACGCUCAUGCACGAAAGCGUGGGGAGCAAACAGKAUUAGAUACCCUGGUAGUCCACGCCCUAAACGAUGUCUACUAGUUGUCGGGUCUUAAUUGACUUGGUAACGCAGCUAACGCGUGAAGUAGACCGCCUGGGGAGUACGGUCGCAAGAUUAAAACUCAAAGGAAUUGACGGGGACCCGCACAAGCGGUGGAUGAUGUGGAUUAAUUCGAUGCAACGCGAAAAYCUU
rnacentral:rRNA from 1 species